rnacentral:rRNA from 1 species
CUACGGGCCGCACCAGUGGGGAAUAUUGCACAAUGGGCGCAAGCCUGAUGCAGCCAUGCCGCGUGUAUGAAGAAGGCCUUCGGGUUGUAAAGUACUUUCAGCGGGGAGGAAGGGAGUAAAGUUAAUACCUUUGCUCAUUGACGUUACCCGCAGAAGAAGCACCGGCUAACUCCGUGCCAGCAGCCGCGGUAAUACGGAGGGUGCAAGCGUUAAUCGGAAUUACUGGGCGUAAAGCGCACGCAGGCGGUUUGUUAAGUCAGAUGUGAAAUCCCCGGGCUCAACCUGGGAACUGCAUCUGAUACUGGGAAGCGUGAGUCUCGUAGAGGGGGGUAGAAUUCCAGGUGUAGCGGUGAAAUGCGUAGAGAUCUGGAGGAAUACCGGUGGCGAAGGCGGCCCCCUGGACGAAGACUGACGCUCAGGUGCGAAAGCGUGGGGAGCAAACAGGAUUAGAUACCCCCGUAGUC